AUGAAGUAUCACGGUCUAGCAAUCCUAGAGGUCCUCAAUCUCUUUCAGUCAAGUAACCCUUCUUCAUUCUCUCUCCUAUUCACAGAUAAGGAUGAGCCCAGUAGUUACACGUGUACGACCUGCAAGCAUCCGUUCAGCAGUGCCUGGUUCCUGCUCCAGCACGCCCAGAACACCCAUGGCUUCCGCAUCUAUCUGGAGAGCGAGCCAGGCAGCCCCCUCACCCCCAGGGUAGCCGCCCCGCCUGGGAUGGGGGGUGACUGCACCUCCCAGCCCCCCCUCCACGGUGUCCACCUGGCCGAUGGGAGCCCCUUCAGUCUGCUGAGAUUGCCUGGGUCCGGGUCUGGCCGGGAAGGGGCCACCUCUGUCCCCCACGAGGGGCGCUACCCCCGGACGCCUCCUCUGUUUAGUCCGCCUCCACGGCACCACCUGAGCCCAGAGAACCUGGCGCUGGCCAUCCAUCACCCGAGCACCUUCGACAGGGUGAUGCGGCUCAACUCAGUGGUCCUGGAUCCACCGCCCGCAAUGGACUUCUCAAGGAGACUGCGGGAGCUGGCGGGUAACCCCACGGGGGCCUCCCCACCCCUGUCGCCCAACAAGCCCAUACAACGGCUGCUGCAGCCCUUCCAGCCGGGCUCCAAGCCCCCCUUCUCAGCCACGCCUCCCCUCUCCACCUCCCAGUCGCCCUCGUCUGGCUUCCGCUCCACCCCCAACCCGGCCCAGCCUACCACGCCACUCAAGGCCAAGUCGUGCGAGUUCUGCGGGAAGUCCUUCAAGUUCCAGAGCAACCUGAUCGUGCACCGGCGCAGCCACACAGGAGAGAAGCCCUACAAAUGCCACCUGUGCAACCACGCCUGCACCCAGGCCAGCAAGCUGAAGCGCCACAUGAAGACGCACUCUCAGAAGAACUCCCUCAACACCAAGUCGGAUGACGGCCUAUCCACCUCCAGCUCACCCGACCCAGGCACCAGCGACCUGGUGGGCAGCGCUACCAACGCCCUCAAGUCCGUGGUGGCCAAGUUCAAGAGUGAGAACAACGGCCUGCUUGAGAAUGGUGAGGAGGAGGAAGAGGAAGAAGAGGAGGAGGAGGGAGAUGAAGAGGAAGAGGGAGACGAGGAAGAAGAGGAGGAAGAGGAGGAAGAAGGAGAGGAGGCAGAGGAAGAGAUGGAGACUGAGGAAGGUGAGAAGACCGAUUAUCAUUUCAGCCUGCUGUUGGAAGGGGCCCGGCACCACCAGAACAGCCAGGCCCUCCACCCCCACUCCCAUCCCCACCGACGGAGCACUCCCCGGGACGCCUGUGAAGAGGACUUGGCACUGGAGUCGGACCGGGCCGACAAGGUCUGUGGCACCACCCCAACAGCCAAUGGCCUGGGUCCUCUCUCUAAUGAGGCCCUGACCAGGAAGCUCCUGAUGGGGAGCCCCGGGUCCCUCAGCACCAUGACCAAGCGUAUCAAGGUGGAGAAAGAACUAGAUCUUCCCACGCCCACCAUCCCCAACACAGAUAACGUCUACUCCCAGUGGCUGGCCGGCUAUGCCGCCUCCCGACAACUCAAGGACCCCUUACUCAGCUUUGGAGAGUACUCCACCAGACAAUCGCCCUUCGCCACAUCCUCCGAGCACUCCUCCGAGAACGGCAGCAUGCGCUACUCCACGCCUCCCGAGGAGAUGGACGGCGGCUGCGGGGCCUCGGGCCACAGCGGGACGGGGAGUGGGGCCAGCACCCCCCACCUGUCAGGGAGCGGCGGGCGCCCCAGCUCCAAGGAUGGCAGCCGGCGGAGCGACACUUGCGAGUACUGCGGCAAGAUCUUCAAGAACUGCAGCAACCUGACAGUGCACCGGCGCAGCCACACGGGAGAGAGGCCCUACAAGUGUGACCUGUGCAGCUACGCCUGCGCCCAGAGUAGCAAGCUCACUCGCCACAUGAAGACCCACGGCCAGAUGGGCAAGGACGUUUAUAAAUGUGAAAUCUGCCACAUGCCUUUCAGUGUGUACAGCACUCUAGAGAAACACAUGAAGAAGUGGCACAGCGAUCAACCCAUGCCAACCACCCUGGAAAUUAAGACUGAGUAGGGGAGGGAGGGCAGCUCCCUGAUUCGCUGAAUCAUGGCAAAAGCUGGGGAGACUGACAGGGGUUAGACACCAGUCAAAAACCCUGUACCUUUGAAAAAGCUGAUCCAUAUUUGGGGCAAUACUAUUGCAUCGGACACAAAAACUUUUGAGCCUUUCUAUUGUGCAAUAAUUGACAUGUUUUGUACCUUUGUAACUGGACGGCAUGCUCAGUGUGUUUUGGCUACUUAGAGAAAAUUGUCCUUCAUUGGUUGGUUGGUUGUAAUUGUGUUGCUGUUGGUUGGUACUUUUGAUUUAAAAAAAAGAAAAAGAUAAGAGGAAGAAAACCCCCAUGCUGCAUAUACAUACUGUUUGACAUAUCUUGUACAGUUUGGUGUUGGAAACAUGGUGGGCAGUGUGAAUGGUCUAACCCUGAACUACAAAAAGCAGGGUCAAAUUUUGGCUCAUCUUUUAAAAAUAUUUUCUGUCCGUUACUGGGUUAAAAAUAUCAAUUGGGUUUGCCUAGGAAACUGUAGCCGCUUAGCAACAUAACAUUUUCUUUUAGAAGAUAUAGUGGUGGUCAAUUUGAAAUGAAUAGUUAUCGUUUGAAAAAGCAAAAAAAAAUGUGCCUUGGAAUAUUUGACCUGCAUUAGUUAAUCCUCCUUUUUGCUAUAAGCUCGGAGAUUCAGCUACAAACGAUAGCUAGCGGACAUGAGUUUAACGGGAGAAAAACAGGUUCUUGCAUCAAGCGCCUGUACAAUAUGACAUCGUCCUCCGUGACCCAGCGAAACACAAGGAACCAGUUGAAACAAAAAAUAUAUAUUUCUGGUAAAUCAUUUUAUCUGCCUGACUCAUUGUAUAAUAUACUUCAGAUGCUCAUUCUGUUUACUGGCAUGCUAGCUACAUGCUAUUUUGGGGAUUAUGUGGUGUUUAUAUAAAGGGUUUUAUUUGUGUUUUGUUUGGUACCUUACAUAGGGGUACUAAAUGUAAUAUUGAGUUGUUAUAAUUCUGUAAACUUAUGCUCUUAAUGUGCUGGAGUGUUUUGUUUUGAAAUGAAAGGUUUUACAGUUUUUUGUAAGUAGCACAAAACUAUGUUGUUGUCCUUGUUGCUGGGAUCUUCGGUGAGUCGGCCAUGACAGUGUGUUGCUGUGGCGGCUGGGAACCUGAAGACUUGUUUUUCUUAGUUCUGACAUGUCAGGCUGAUUUUGAAAAGGGGGUGGGGUUGGGGGCACGGAAUGACCAGAUUUGGAUCAAUUCAUCAUUUGUAAAUGCAUUAUAAGCUUUUUAACAAGCUCUUUUUAACAAGCUUUUUUCCGCAUGUCAUAUCAGAUUUCCUAAAAGCUGAAAUGUUGCCUCUUAAACUAAUUGAUAUUGGAAAGUCCCCCCCCAAAAAAAUGUAAGAACAAUUUUGAGAAGUGUAUUCAGUGAAACACAUCCCUCGCUCGAUUGUUUACAUCAUUUGAAUCUUUCACAUCGUUUUGUGCUCUUUGAGUUGACACGUUAGACCUCACCGCUGUUGUUUUGACUUUACAGACUUACAUCAACCCCCCUUUCAUAAUGUUGUUGGUAAAGCACUUGUCACUCUGCCUUGGAUCCUGUAUCUGUCUCUCUAAUCGGAGGUACAGUCGGUUGAGUAUAAAAUAAUAAGAACUGGGACUUUUCCCAGGAUGAAAUAUGUGCACUGUUCAAUUUUCCCAGUUUACAGGUGGACACUCAAGGGAAAUCUUUGCUCUAAUGCAGACCGAUUGAUGUGGUGUCAUUGCUUCAUGCAGAUAAGAGUGAAACGAGAAACCGUCGCCAGCCAUUUUGUUUCCCAGGGGGCCUAGCAGUUUUUGGGGCCUCUGGGUAAUACAGUAUCAAUGCAGGAACCGCCAUACUCCCUCCUGCUUCAGAAAGAAAGAAAGAAACCUUGCUGCUCAAAAAGGGCAAUAUUUUUUUUUCCUACCACAAAUUUUAUAAAAAUGAAUAAAUAAACUCUGUUUUUUAAUGUAACACUUCAAUAUCUUUAGGGGAGACUUUAUUUAAGAUUGUUUUGAUUAUAUUUUUUGGGGUUCUCGUUAAAUUUUGAUGAUUAUGCUCAAGAUAUAUUCAUAUUAUGAAAAUGAAAUUAACAGGACUCUCAUCUUUUUGCCUUUUUGCUAUACACAGGUCUUCAGGUUAAACAACAUUUUCAUCGGCGAGAAAUUUUAUGAUUAUAUGUGAAUAUAUAGAGAGAACUUAAAAAACAUAGGAAAAUGCACACUCAUGAUCCUAUGCUAAAAUACACAUUUACGGUCUACUUGUUCCUGUAUUUAGAAUGGUAUUUGAAAUUAAUGUUCACUUAGCGUAGGCACUUGUAGUAUUUAUGUUGAAGCCUGUAUUUUCAACUGUUCGCUUGUUCUCUUUAAAAGGUUUCAAUGUACUCUUUUCAGUAGUUGAAGAAAAAAAUGCCCAACCAGCUGCCACCGUAUAUAUUUUCUUAAUUUGGCAGGAUAAUACUAUUAUGGUGUGAAUAAUUUGUACGCUUGAACAAAAAUUAAGUAUGUUUUUGAAAAUUGAAACGUUGUGGCGUUCUAUGGAUAAGAGGAGCCAUGUAAUGGCUUUUCCAAGCAGUACCGUCGGAAUGUGCCACAACAUGGUAACACAGGGGGUUGUAUAUAUCUUUUAUUUUCGUUGGUUUUUUUUAAAUAUGUUUUUUCCUCUCCUGUCAUUUUAUAUGCAGUAACACAAGCUAUUGUUGGGUUCUCGGUCGUGUAACUUUCUACUGUCCGUUCCUCUCGACCACCUGAACACAUUCCAGUCACAUCAGUGAAGUAAGAACUAUUCCAGUCAUUAUGCAGUCAAUUGAUUUAAAAAGGACAUCAAUCUGGAAAUCAAUUUAGCGGUUUUAUUUUAAGUCUAUUUUUCAUUGCUAAACAGUGCAUGGUGCUUUAUGUUUUUUUUUUUUUAAGUGGUAAAUCUCAUUUGCAAAACAUUUCUAAUGAAAACAGAAAUGAUUGGGGUGGGAAAAGAAAAGCCUACUUGAGCUGGUACAGUAAAGUAGGCUACAUGUUUUGUGUACAUGACAAUGCUACAUUGGUACGUUUAGGGUUUCAGCCUUUUUCCCCUGUCUGUUCUAAACGCUGAUUAUUCUGAACUGAACUUGAACUUGGCCUCCGACAGUGGACGUCCCUAUUUAUUACGACUAUACACAGCUUUGUUGAAAACAGAGUCACACACAGCAGGUAUCAAUAAAUUUUCUCUCUCUUGUUGAAUAUCUGAUGUUUUUAACAUGUAUUUUUAAUGACCAAAUGUCAUUGACCCACACCAUUCAGUUUCUGGGAAUUCUACUCUCUUCUGUUGAGUUCUUGUUCGUUUGGAGAUGCCACUCUUUCUUCAACAACGGUUGACUGCGUUAUUCUCUACACUCAGCCAUUUUGUCUUGAAAAAAUGAAAAAUAAAAAGUAUUACAUACA